AAAUUAAGAUGUUAAUCUUAAUUUGUAUUAAUCUGGACUAAAGUGUCAACCAACCACUAAGAAAAUAACUCAAAAAUAUACAGAAACAAGAAGAUAAUUAAAAUAGUAUAUUAGAAAACAGUUGUCUAACACACAAGAAGGCAGUAAUGGAAAGAGUGAGGAAUAAAAAAAUAAGACACACAGAAAACAAAUAGCAAAAUGACAGAUGUAAAUCCCACCUUAUAAUUAUAUUAAAUGUAAAGAGACUAAACAAUCAUAUGGCAAAGAGUAGAAAUGUGGAUAUAAAAAAUAUCCAACACUAUUAUGUCUACAACGCACUUUAUAUUCAAAGACACAAAUAAGUUGAAAGGGAAAGGAUAGAAAAGACAUGUCAUGCAAAUAGGAACAAAAGAGUGUUGGGGUCGCUGUACCAAUGUAGGUUAUACACAGUAAACUUAGAGACAGAAACUGUUACUACAAAGAGCAGCAUUUUAUAAUGAUAAAGCGUGGAUUCAUCAGGAAGACAUAACAUAAACAUGUUAUAAACACGCAUGCAGGUAACGGCAGAGUCCCAAAACACAUGAAGCAAGAACUGACAGAACUGGAGGGAGACAUCAAUCAAUAACAACAGUUGGAGAAUUCAAUACCCUGCUCUGAAUAAUGGAUAGAACAAUUAGGCAGAAGACCAACAAAGAAAGAGGAUAUUUGAACAACGUGAUAAGCCAAUUUGACCUAAUAAAUAUCUUUAUCUGUGAAACACCCUAGCUUUUAGCCUGGGUAAGGAGCUGGAGAGAUGUGAAAAUGUGGAAAGCAAGCCUAAGUCGCAGUGUGGCCUAUGCCUGAGAGCCAUCUUCAGUGCCCCCUUGUGGCUGUAUCUGGGAACCACAGACAGAAUCAUGGAACUGACCAUCUUCAGUCUCAAAGUGCUGCCCUCACCACUACACCCAGGGGCAGGUGGUCUUCGGGGGAAAGGCGGUUCCAGUUCCUUCUCCCAAGGUAACAACUCCCAUCCCAAGGCAAUGUUCACAGAACCUAUCAGAGUCCCCCCUGCCCUAUGCACAGCUUAAGACCAGGGUGGUCUCAGCUCUGAUCAGGCCACUGAGGGCAUCUGUCUGAGAUUUGGGACCCAGUUAUUGUCCCUGUUCUUCUUAGGCAGAUGGCGGAGUUCCCCAGUACACAGAAGGUGCUCACUCUUCACAAAAAGCAGUGCUUGAGAAUAACAGCCUACCUUGGUGGAGUAGCUUCGUUAGGGCCAGGGCUUGACUUGAAGCCAGAGACUGAGGUUGCAGUCCAGCCUUGGGUCAGCCUCAGGCUGGGGCUGGGGUGAUGCUGAGACCCUCACCAGAAAAAAGGCCUUUACCCCAUCCGAAAGGAAAUGGCUAUCCUCUGACCUGAGCACUCUAGCCUGAGGCCUGCCUGGCGCUAGAAGCCAGCCUCUGUUGUCCCCUCCCAGCACUCCUCCCACUGCUCUGCCUUUCUGCCCACAUAGAAACUCUGGAGACACCAGCUCCCCACCCUUCCAAGCUAAGCCCCACUGCUGUCUCUGCCUCCUCCAUCUUUCAAACCGGCAAUGUUUUUCCAAUCAGGCCUCCCUAUCCUUCCCCUACUGCUCUGCCCUUCACUGCCUUCCUUUCCUGGCGACUCUCAGCCGCCCUUCAAGGCCCAGCUCAGGCGUUCUUUCCUCAGUGACGCACCCCCGGGCAGGCUGGGGCUUCUGGCACAGCUCUGGCCACCCUGCGUAUCUUCAGCUGUUCCCAAUGUUUGUCUCUGCUCCCAAGUAGCUCUCUCACAGUUUCUGGCACAGAGGAGUUGGCCCUGAGGGGGAUGAACAGCAAGGACAGGCAGGACAGUUCUGGCAGUAAGGAAGUUAGAACAAGGUCCUUUGGUCUCGGCUAGGAAGGGUUCCCAGGUGCUUAGUACUCACUGAACAGAAAGGAAUUAGAAAAGAGGUGGCAUCUUGUAAUCGCUAGGGUGACAGCAGGCCAGGCCUCUGCCUUUUUGGUAGAGCUGAGGCCAGGGGCAGGGAACACAGCUUGAGUGACCCAUAAGGAGCCUUCCAGCUCAGCCACCCAAGGGCCCCCCAGCUGGACAGGAGCCCUUUACCACAUGGUAGGCAUCAUGUCAAGUGGCUCCCAAUGACCCCUGCCCCCUGGCAUCCAUUCCCUGGUGUAAUCCCCUCCCGUCCAGUGGGAGCUGGACCGAGCAAUGUUCAUUUAAUGAACAGAAUAUGGCAAAAGUGACAGGAUAUCACUUCCCAGGUUAGGUUAUAAGGGCCUGGGACUUCCGUCUUGCUCGCACACUUCACUCCACUCACUGGCUCUUCUUGCUAAGUAAGCUGGUGUGCCGUGAGCUACCCCAUGGAAAGGCCCAUGUGGCAAGGAACUGAAAGUGGCCUCUGUCAACAGCCAGUGAGGAAGUCAAUCCUGCGAACAACUGCAGGAACGGCCUUGGGAGUGGAUCCUUCCUCAGCCCGGCUCCAAGACAACUGCAGCCCUGUGAGAAACCCUGAGUGGAGGACCAAGCCAAGCCUCAAAUCGUGACUUGGAACUGGGAGACAACAGAUGCUGUUGGAAGCCACUGAGCUCUGAAGUAGUUUGUUACACAGUGACAGAAUCUAGGAUCUGGGGAAGGUAAACUGAGGCCACCAGUAAGCAUGUGCUCCAGGCCAAGGCUGAGUCUGUGCUGCAUCCAUGUCAUCAGCCACCCAAGAAAAACCAGUUACUCCACCUAGCUCAUGGUGGCGGCAUCCUCCCUGCAAUGGUGCAUGGGGGGCAGUCCUUUCCCCUGCAGGGUGUCAUUGCCACCCCCAUCCUCAUCCUGGAGGCCAGUCCAGGCUCCGAUAUGAGUGACUAGGGGUGAGGUAGGGGUGGCAGAAGGGAGAUCAAACUGGAGCAUUCCAGAUGCCUACUACUGCCCUCACACAACGGGGCAACUGUGCUCUCCAACUCCUCCCCUUGGCAGAGAAACUGGUCCUGCAGUUUCAGGACUAGACGAGCGUGGGGUAGUGGCAAUAAAGGGGCUUGUAUGAGAAGUG
rnacentral:lncRNA from 10 species